UUGCUGUCAGAAACAUGACAAUUGUUAUGGCGACCUUAUCACGAACAAGAAAUGUAAAUUACAGUUGUCCACCUAUACGAUCACUUUCAAAUAUCAUGGUUGCUCCAAUUGCGGUAAGAUUUUAUGUAAUAUUUCAAAUUCAAAAAUGGGGGUCACAUAGCGAAUCAGGCUUUAAUUAAUAUGACCCAGAAAGCUACUCUAUUGGUCAACAUCACAAUAUUUGGGCAUCUCAUCCGACUGAACGAUUGUUCAAGGAUAUAUUGUAGAUGGAAAACUCGAGUGUAAAUUGGAUAUACACAAUUAUUUAAACCUGGCCAGGAGCAAAUCAUGAUAUUUACCCUUAGGGACCGUUCAUUAGUUAUACCCGGCGUUGGUACCGAAGAGAUAUGCUUUGGGUAAUCAAGUUUUUGACUAGCUUGGGUAAAAAAAAUAUGGCUGUCUGUCAGCUAUAAAAAAAAAUCCAAAAUUACCAUGCAUUGGAAAAUAUGAAGAAAAAUAUGUACAAUACAUUAUGUACCAAAACUGAUAGACCAUCAGUGAUCGAGGAGGGACUCUAUCAUUGAUCAGCAGGAACGUGAUUGCUUUGGCACACUCAGUGAGUUUGAAUCUGAGUGAGCUUUUAGAAUUUAGGCAACUUGAUUUCUGUCACCAUAAUUUUGUGUGUUUAAUUAUUAUGAAGUACAGUAACACAUGGGUCGGGGUAAACAUUAUUUUGACCAAUGUUGAGGUUGGGUAAAUAAAAUAUUUACACUGUUUUUCGCUUCUCUUCAGUACCAACCGCGAGUAUAAAUAAUAAACGGUCUCUUAUACCUUACCAUGGCAUCACUUCAGUAUAAAUAAAUGAACCUACGUGUACACUUUGAGGAAAACCGGACUUUGUACUUCAUUUGGUUAGAGCCCCGCAACUGAAUCACAGCCCGCAGAUCCGAUUCCUGUCAAAAGGCCUAUGGUUGCAUUUUUUUGCCGCUGCUAUUGGCUGAGUCUAAAAAUUGUAUUAGAUUUGAGUAGCAGUUUCCAUCUGCAAAAUUCAUUAACAGGCUGCUCUAUUUUCUGUCCUGAAUUAAAGGCACACACCACAACCAUAAUGCAUGUGUAACGGAGUGCGCAUCCGGUUCUUCAAAGCUCGGUUAGCGCUAAUCUGCGUACCUUACCGAAGACACUACUUGUUGGACUGAAUACUCACCACCGCGUCCAAACGAAAACUAGAAGCAGGCUAAUUGCUAAAAGCAUGCUAAUUUAUAUGACCGAUUUACUGAUCUUACAAUUAGUUAUAGACGUAAUAUUACCCAAAUUAGCGUCAUCCGCGCAACUACAAAUAUUCACCCACGCACGCUAUUCUUGACUAGUUAAAUGACCUCGAGAUGCUUUGCUCAGUUGUGUAUACCAUACGAUUUAUCAGAUUUCUGAAGAUAUUUUUCAAUUGAACGUAUGGUACAUUAUUGUUACCAGUAUAACCGAUGCAUAACGUUUUUCUUUUAAUUUAGCUGCGACGAGCGAGUACUCUUGGUGGGAUAAAUUGGGAUACGAAUCAGUGAAUUGCCGCAAAGGGUUGUGUGAUUGUGAUGCUGAAGCUGCGAAAUGCUUCAAGAGAUCGGGUUACAAUAACCGCUUUUAUAACUAUGACCAGAGUAAAUGCUAGUAGAUAGACCAUGAACAAAAUCGAUAAAGUAGUAAUUCUCCAUAGUUAUAAUACAUUCAAUAGUAUAUAUAAUGCAUUAAUUUUGUAAAACAAUUAACAAUAUUAAUAAUUAAUUUGCACUAAUACUUAA